UGCAAGUCGAACGAUGAUCCCAGCUUGCUGGGGGAUUAGUGGCGAACGGGUGAGUAACACGUGAGUAACCUGCCCUUAACUCUGGGAUAAGCCUGGGAAACUGGGUCUAAUACCGGAUAUGACUCCUCAUCGCAUGGUGGGGGGUGGAAAGCUUUAUUGUGGUUUUGGAUGGACUCGCGGCCUAUCAGCUUGUUGGUGAGGUAAUGGCUCACCAAGGCGACGACGGGUAGCCGGCCUGAGAGGGUGACCGGCCACACUGGGACUGAGACACGGCCCAGACUCCUACGGGAGGCAGCAGUGGGGAAUAUUGCACAAUGGGCGAAAGCCUGAUGCAGCGACGCCGCGUGAGGGAUGACGGCCUUCGGGUUGUAAACCUCUUUCAGUAGGGAAGAAGCGAAAGUGACGGUACCUGCAGAAGAAGCGCCGGCUAACUACGUGCCAGCAGCCGCGGUAAUACGUAGGGCGCAAGCGUUAUCCGGAAUUAUUGGGCGUAAAGAGCUCGUAGGCGGUUUGUCGCGUCUGCCGUGAAAGUCCGGGGCUCAACUCCGGAUCUGCGGUGGGUACGGGCAGACUAGAGUGAUGUAGGGGAGACUGGAAUUCCUGGUGUAGCGGUGAAAUGCGCAGAUAUCAGGAGGAACACCGAUGGCGAAGGCAGGUCUCUGGGCAUUAACUGACGCUGAGGAGCGAAAGCAUGGGGAGCGAACAGGAUUAGAUACCCUGGUAGUCCAUGCCGUAAACGUUGGGCACUAGGUGUGGGGGACAUUCCACGUUUUCCGCGCCGUAGCUAACGCAUUAAGUGCCCCGCCUGGGGAGUACGGCCGCAAGGCUAA
rnacentral:rRNA from 1 species